UGGAAUAGUUGCUGUCUUGAUGAUCUGGAUGCAGUGGUGGCGGACCCUGUGGCGAGAAGCCAUCUCAGUGUACAUCUGUUCCACAGCACCAUUCAAUGUGGUGUCACGAUACUCCUUGUACAUGUUGUGAUACCCAGUUCUACUCUGGUAACGCAGCCAAAUACCAUAGUUCUUGAUCUUUGUUGGAUUCUUCUCAAAAAUCUACAAAUAGAAACAAACAUCUCAAUAAUAAAGUGCAGCACCUAUGUCCAUGGAUGAAGUAAAACCAGAAAACGAUAAAAAUACAGAGAGUUACAAGUACACAUAGAUUAUUGCUACCUCCAAAACCUGGAACUCCUGAGACAAAGGCUAGAUUUUGUAGUAGUGCCGUGAUUAUCGAACCAUUUAGAAAGUCUUUCCAAGUUACACACAUGCAAUUAGGAAAAAAAACUCCUAUCCUAAAAAUAGGUAUUACUAGCAAGCAUAUGUUGUGGCUCUUUAAAAAGUGGCAUCAUAUUAUUUUUCUUUGCAUUUUUCAUCCUAAUCUAUGCACAUCUUCUUCUUUUUUCAUGAUUUACCAGUGACCUCUGUCACUUCUUCGCAAAACUGUAACAGAGCUCAUUUCGAAGGGCAAAUAGGAAUAACAUAAAUUUAGUGCACCACCACUACGAAUGACAUGAAAAUUGGAACUGUUAUCUAGAAAUCCCUUUACAGAAAGAGAGAGACACUCAGACUAGUUAAAAAAAAGUAUAGAAGAUAACACCAUUGAUCACAUGCUAAGGACUAACAUUGGCAAGUCUAUACAAGCUUUGAUAUGAAGGCAAAUGGACAAUUUCUCCUAAGGGAUCCCAACAUACCAGAUUACUAGGAACCUACUAUUCAUGCUUCACAACGGAUUAACAGAAACAUUUACUUUGGAGAACCAGGGAAGAACAAUUUAACCGUAGACUUUUAUCAAGUAAUGGUACAAAUUAACCAUGAACUCUCAAACAGUAAUAACUGGGGACAAAACAAUCAAAUAAGCAACAGAAAAACAAAUUUUGCUAUUAAUACAUCCCAACAACAUAUCCUAUCAAAGACAACCUAAAAACUCGUAAAUUAAGAUAUGCAUUUGAUCAUACCUCAUUAAUAGCUAGCAUCUGACCAUUGCUCUUCUUCACCUUCUUAAGCUUCCUCAAAAAGUACCUUUUUCCAGCCAAAUCAAAUACCACAAUUAUUACCCCAACACACACUCACACACUCACACACAUGGUAUGUUUGAUUUCAUAUAACACUAAAUUAGUAACUACACCCUCUGCCCCAAUGAAUGUGGCACAGUUUGAAUUUCGAGAGCCGAAAAAUUCAAUUUUGACCGUGAAUUUGGACAUGGAAUAUUUUUAGAAAAUUAAUUAUUUUUACAUAUUUGGAAAACCAAGUAAAAAGCCUCGCUUAGUCUUCCAUAUUAAAAAUGGCAUUACGUAAGGAGUUUCUUGUUAUCUCAUUAUUUUCUUUUUCGAACGGCUUUUAGUGCUUCUACUUGAGCAAGGGUCUAUCAUAAACAACCUCUUGUAAGAACUACGUACAGACUAUCCUCACAAUGUGUAUGUUGUUGAUAACUAGUAUAACAAUAAUUGACAAUGGAAAAUAUUUAAAAGAUAUAUGAAAAAAUUACUAACUUGUUUGAAUCUCGAAAUAUAAAAUUGUCACGUAAAUUGGAAAGGAGGGAGUAAUACUAAUUGGAGGGGGUGGAAGAUAAUCAUGAGAUAACAAUACAACACACACACACAGAGGGGAUGAGAAAUAUUACCAGAACUUGGACUUGGCACGGACCUCAUUAGUAGCCCAAAGUUUCAUACGGUAAAUCUUAGGAUGCUCAUCGUUUUCUGACGGAAGAGCUCUUCCUACAACCUGGUAUUGAUGGAACUACAACAACAGAAAAAUCCCAGUUAUUAUUGCAAAAUUGCUAAAUUUAUUGACCAAAAGAUAUAAAAAGACAAAUUCAAUUGUUAAUCUGUGAUACUAACUUUGUAGGUCACCAUUUCUCUCCCGCUGCUUCGCGUCAGAAUCUUUGGGAGGCGUCUUUCAGUCCGAAAAUUUUGAAGAAGAAAAUGCAGGGGUUUUAUGUAUAUUGGCCUCUUGGAAAACCUAGGUGGAAAAUGGGCUGUAUAGACUAGACAGACCCACAUUCAUUUUUAUUGGGCUUUUAAUUGCUGGCCUGUUCGGUCGAAGUUGCACAAAUAGCCUGUUGUGGUUGGGGUUAUUCUCAAAUAUAGACCCAAAUUAGGGUGGCUUUCAAAUUUUAGCCCCAAAUAAAAAAAUUUUGUUAAAAUAGUCUUAACUUGUUAAGGCAUAUUUUCUUGGACGAAAAUUCCCUCCUGCAAGCCGUUAAAUCUCACGUUUCUUCUUGCACUGGAAAUCCUCACGUUUCUCCUGGGUAAGUCAAAACAUACAUUAAUACAUACUGCUUUGGAUCCAUAAGUUGUUAUUCUUUUGUCCAUAAUUGUUCGAUAUGUCCUCGAGGAGAGUGUCGUAAUUCAUUACAUACAAAAUCAAUUUGCGGAUGCACCAUUGAUUUGACAACCUAUUUACAGUUAUGUUAACAAGGUAACUUUCAUUGAAUUUGCAGCAGAAUAAAUAGGUGAGAUAGCAAAUGGUAGGGCUACUUUUUACUGUAUCUGUCCUCUCUGUAGUUGCUAGAAGCAUCAUAUCAAGGUGAUUGUAGAUCUGCACUGAAAAUGGUCAUACUAAAUCAAUUUUUUGAGAUGUCCAUUACAUCUUGCAAACUUCUACAAUAGGCAAUAGAUUCUACUUCGCCAUAUUUUCUCCAUUUUGUUUAGACAGUCUUGAGUUUAAAACGCUACACUUCUGGUUGCAUAUUUUCUUUAUUCAAGUUUUCAUAUUCGCUUUUUCAUUAAUUAAUUAAUUACGCUACUUCCAACUAUGUUUGUAGGUUUCUAUGAGACGAGGAUUGCAUAUUACUCUUGGAGAGGUGCUAAAGGUUAUCGAUUUACUGCCAUCCCUGACUAUUGAAGUUUUCAAACUUUAUGUAAAAUCUCAAUGUAGUUACUAGUUUCGGUAAUGAGUUUUGUGAUAGUUUGUAUUUCUCGCACUCGUUUUGUCCUUCACACUUCAAAAAACUUCUGAAUGUUGAACACGC
rnacentral:lncRNA from 1 species